AACGAACGCUGGCGGCAGGUCUUAGGCAUGCAAGUCGAACGGGUGUAGUAAUACACCAGUGGCGAACGAGUGAGUAACGCGUGGGAAUCUGCCCAUCUCUGGGGAAUAACGUUUGGACACGAACGCUAAUACCGCAUACGCCCGCAAGGGGAAAGAUUUAUCGGAGAUGGAUGAGCCCGCGUUUGAUUAGUUAGUUGGUGGGGUAACGGCCUACCAAGGCGAUGAUCCAUAGCUGGUCUGAGAGGACGAUCAGCCACGCUGGAACUGAGAUACGGUCCAGACUCAUACGGGAGGCAGCAGUGGGGAAUUUUGGACAAUGGGGGCAACCCUGCUCCAGCCAUGCCGCGUGAGUGAAGAAGGCCUUCGGGUUGUAAAGCUCUUUCGGACGGGAAGAAAUCGCACGGGCUAAUACUCUGUGUGGAUGACGGUACCGUAAUAAGAAGCACCGGCUAACUACGUGCCAGCCGCCGCAGUAA
rnacentral:rRNA from 1 species